rnacentral:rRNA from 1 species
GAUGAACGCUGGCGGCGUGCUUAACACAUGCAAGUCGAACGGAAAGGCCCAAGCUUGCUUGGGUACUCGAGUGGCGAACGGGUGAGUAACACGUGGGUGAUCUGCCCUGCACUUCGGGAUAAGCCUGGGAAACUGGGUCUAAUACCGGAUAGGACGAUGGUUUGGAUGCCAUUGUGGAAAGUUUUUUCGGUGUGGGAUGAGCUCGCGGCCUAUCAGCUUGUUGGUGGGGUAAUGGCCUACCAAGGCGUCGACGGGUAGCCGGCCUGAGAGGGUGUACGGCCACAUUGGGACUGAGAGACGGCCCAGACUCCUACGGGAGGCAGCAGUGGGGAAUAUUGCACAAUGGGCGCAAGCCUGAUGCAGCGACGCCGCGUGGGGGAUGACGGCCUUCGGGUUGUAAACUCCUGUCGCUAGGGACGAAGCGUUUUUGUGACGGUACCUUGAGAAGAAGCACCGGCUAACUACGUG